AGCGAACGCUGGCGGCAGGCCUAACACAUGCAAGUCGAACGAAGUCUUCGGACUUAGUGGCGGACGGGUGAGUAACACGUGGGAACGUGCCUUUAGGUUCGGAAUAACUCAGGGAAACUUGUGCUAAUACCGAAUGUGCCCUUCGGGGGAAAGAUUUAUCGCCUUUAGAGCGGCCCGCGUCUGAUUAGCUAGUUAGUGGGGUAAUGGCCCACCAAGGCUACGAUCAGUAGCUGGUCUGAGAGGAUGACCAGCCACAUUGGGACUGAGACACGGCCCAAACUCCUACGGGAGGCAGCAGUGGGGAAUCUUGCGCAAUGGGCGAAAGCCUGACGCAGCCAUGCCGCGUGGAUGAUGAAGGUCUUAGGAUUGUAAAAUCCUUUCACCGGUGAAGAUAAUGACUGUAGCCGGAGAAGAAGCCCCGGCUAACUUCGUGCCAGCAGCCGCGGUAAGAC
rnacentral:rRNA from 1 species